UACGUAGGGGGCUAGCGUUGUCCGGAAUCACUGGGCGUAAAGGGUUUGCAGGCGGAAAUGCAAGUCAGAAGUAAAAGUCAGGAGCUUAACUAUUGUAAGCAUUUGAACCUGCAUAUCUUGAAAAGAGUAGAGGUAAGUGGAAUUUUUAGUGUAGCGGUGAAAUGCGUAGAUAUUAAAAAGAAUACCGGUGGCGAAGGCGACUUACUGGGCUCAUUCUGACGCUGAGGAACGAAAGCGUGGGGAGCAAACAGG
rnacentral:rRNA from 1 species